CGGACUCCUGGCAAGCUCGUAGACUUCACGAUUUGAUCUCGGCGAGUUCCAACGAGCUUCUUGGGCAAGCUCCGAUCUUUCUCGGUGAGCUCCGUGAACUUCCGACGAACCUUUUGGCGAGCUUCCGAAAAACCCUUCGGCAAGCUCCCUACUCAUUCUCGGCUAGUUCCGGCAGCAUUCCCGACGAGCCUUCGGACUUCCAUCGAACUCUCGAACUCCCAACGAAUCCUUCGUGCUUGACUCCGGCACUUUGUUUCGCUUUAUGUCUUCAUCGUUAUCGUAGUUAAUCCUGCACACACAAGCCAAAACUCUACUCCGAUCUAGACAAUUAUUACAACGUGAAUUGACAUUCUGUUGCCUGGCACGUCAUUGGUUG
rnacentral:lncRNA from 1 species